rnacentral:lncRNA from 1 species
GAUGCUUCACAGGAAAGAUCGAGAACUGGCUCCUGGGUUGUGGGUGAGUCAGCUCGCUUUACUACUUUUUGUUCUUUGUAAGAUGAUAUUUUUCGAGCACUAGCUUGCACUCUGAAGGACGAGGCGUCAGUCACUGGAAACUGGUUUAACAAACAGUAAUAUGAAAGUGGAAACUCUGUGAGGUCAGGUGUUCCAAGGAAGACGGCGCAGUAAGGUAGCCACAGCUUUGUUUUCACCACAAUGGCCUUUAGAUGAUGCAUUUUUACAGCUUUGUUGGAAAAACAACAAGAUUUUUGUUUAGUUCUUUGCAACCAGAGAAGUAAAUGCAGCUUUUUAAGGCAACGUUGAUUAUGGAAAAAAAUGUUCAGCAAGCCUUCCUGAUGCUCUGUCACCAAGGACGCUCCAGCCCUUUGACUUCUUCAAAAUUUCCUUGUGGUUUGGUCUAAGAAUAAUUACAUAACUAGAAGGAAAUAACAGUUCCUUCUUCCUGUUUUGCAAGUGAUUAGAGGAAACAGUUCAGUACACACAUGUUGACAUUAGUUAAUGUCUCUUAUGUCAGUCAAUGACAAGGAAGCAGCACUGGUGGCUCUCAGUGAGGUUCUGCAUGUGUCAUGAAUUGGAGCAAAUACAGUAAAAGGAGAGGUGUGAUGGCUUCUGAGAACUCAGCACCAAAGUGGCUGCAUAUUUUUGGAGGUGUUAAGGCUAAUGCCUCCCUGCAUGUGAACAUUUCUGCAUGAGGAAGUUGACAGAAAGCCUGUUGAGAGCUGAUUAGAGAACAGAUCUAACAAGCACAUACUGUCGCUAGGCAGCUAUCAUACUGCAGAUGAGGCCGUCUAUGCAAACACGGCCACUUGUAUGAGAGAAGCAGCAUGCAAAUGUCUGUUUAAGCAUGAAAUAUUGGGAUGUAUCUUACAGGUCAGAGGCCCGCUCAGAAAACUUUGCUCAGCUGAGUUUUGAGUCUGUGCUGAAAGGCCACCACUGUGACGAUGAGCUGGGUCUUGGUGCUGAUGGUAAGUCCACACACACACACACACACACACACACAAACACAAACACGCACGCACGCACACACAAACGCACACAGACACACACACACAUGCACGCACACACACACACACACACAAAGAAAACUAACAAAGCAGUAAAUGUCCUUGUAGGAAAAUAAGGCGCACAUCAUGAAUGUUGAAACAAGCUCAUGCUUUGUCAUGCUGCGGAUAUCAGUGGAAAUGUGUCACGGAGAUGUCCAGUGUUUCGCAGUAUUACUGUACCUCUGCCAAGAAGGACAUUUUUUCAAAUGGGGAAGUUCCUUUUUUAGAAAAUACCUCAAAAGUUGUUUCAUAACAGACGCUGACUACACUGACUGUUCAUACACAGCCUUAUCAGGAAAGGAAAGCUAAAUAAAGGUCAAAACAUCACAUUAUUUUACAAUUCAAGUGGUAAAGACUAACAGCAGAAUGACAUAAUGCAUUUUCAUUUAAUUGCUAAAUGGUUGUAUGUCUUUUGGUUGACAAAAAUAACCUUCCCUAAACAUGACAUACAGUAUGAAUUCAUUUUUGAGACGUGUGUAAUAAAAAAAAAAAUCUUCUGUUUUGUUUCAGCGUCUGUGUUAAAUGGUGGAGAAGUUACAUCUGAAGCUCAGUGAGUAGUAACUUGACAAGAAAUGUUAGUGAAUGUUAGUCCGUGUUGCUUUAAUCAUCAUACUGACAGAGGUCAUGCUGAACAGUUCAUCCAGGAGGGAGAGGAACUGUCUUUGAUGGGUCUCGUAUUUUAAUUCAAAUCUAGUCUCACAAUCCAACAGGCAUGUUUGAUUUAACUGCCCCACCCACCACUAACACCACCACCAACACCACCACCACCACAGUUAGCUGAAGCUGAGUGUCUUCACUGAUAUUUAUAGGUCCCGGUUGCACCCCUGCAUGCUGAGGCUGUUUUUAAACUGAAAAAAUGUAUAUGAGAUGGCACUUGUUAAUCACGUGACUAUAACGUUUUAAAAGAAUCAUCAAAGACAAUCUACUUAAUCAAUACUAAAGAAGCUAAACUUGACAGUCUGGACUUUUGGUAACUUUCGUCUCCCUCCCUCUGUGCUUACCAUGAAGCCUCGCACAGUAUCCUUCCACCAGUCAAGGUCACAGCAGACUCACCAGGUCAGUGGCAAAACCUCUUUCUUGUUAAAUGUGACUGUAUCGUAAAGUUACUGUUAAGAUUCAUACUUCAGACAACUGAGUGUUUCUUCCACGCCUGACGUGUAUGUUACUCUAAC